AUACAUAGUCAAUCAUUAGUUUUGUAUGAUGCUGUAGAAACAAGGGGAAUGUUCUGCAAAAGUGAAUUUGGCUAGGGUCAGUGGCUCACACACCUGUAUUCUCAUCACUUUGGAGGCUGAGAUACCCAGGAAUUUGAGCCUACAGUG
rnacentral:snoRNA from 1 species